rnacentral:tRNA from 1 species
GGCUCGUUCGUCUAGAGGCCUAGGAUCCCACCCUUUCACGGUGGUGACAUGGGUUCAAAUCCCAUACGAGUCA